CAGGAAUCCAUUAUGAUCUGGAGGAAUGACAGCAGCAGUCUGAUUGAGAAAAUAAAGAAGAAGGACUUUGAGAUAAGCCAGCUCCUGGGUAAGAUUGAGGAUGAGCAGACUCUUGGAAUCCAGCUACAGAAAAAGAUAAAGGAACUUCAGGCUCGUAUUGAGGAGCUGGAGGUGUAAGACGAU